AAAUCGUCCCCUAAAUUUUGCAAUUGUAGUAGUUUUGGCCCCAAGACCAUUUUUUGGUAAUAAAAUAAAAUAAAAUAAAACGUGACACCUCACUUAGGGUGCCACGUUAGCGUAGAUCGAGUCAAAAUUGGCUUUGGGGGCCAAAACUGCCACAGAUGCAAAACUUAGUGGACGAUUU
rnacentral:pre_miRNA from 1 species